rnacentral:sRNA from 1 species
GGUGACAUACAUUUUUCCAUCAUCCUUUGAAAAGGCUAGCUGCAUCCUUCACCCAUAAGGAUUUUAUUAACAUCACAGCAAAGUCCUCUCACCCCAGUAACAGGAUGCUGGAGACUGGCAGCCUGGGAAGAGGGCCUGCUUCCCAGGAUGAAGCCACUGCUGGGCUACCUUCUAGGCUUUCCCUUGGAACACUGGCAUGCCCUGCUCAGCUGUAGUCCUGAGGACCCGAAUCUACGCAGCAGCCCUGGGAAGAAGAUGAGCAGGUUGAUCAGCAGUAGCUUUUCUCCCCCCAUGUAGAUCACAACAGUGUGUGGCUCUAACUUGCCCUUUCAUCGUCCUUUGUGCUCAGAGAGAAAGACAAGCAAGGAGGAAAAGUUGAACAAAGGCCGGAGCCCAGGAACCUCAAGAGUUCUGACUUCAUGCUGGACUUACAGGCUCCUUCCCCACAGUGGGAGCACACCCUGUGUCCCCAGCUCACCAAGAGCUCAGGGGCAUCCACAAAGUCUCUCCAUGCCCCCAGCCUCUGUGCCCGGUGCUGAGAUACACUGUGAACUCAUAUGUUGCUGUAAUAAAUCCACACUGGCUGCC